rnacentral:misc_RNA from 1 species
GCAAACUUGGUCAUUUAGAGGAAGUAAAAGUCGUAACAAGGUUUCCGUAGGUGAACCUGCGGAAGGAUCAUUAACAAUUCAAAUUUGAUUCUUCAAAUUAUAUCCACCUUGUGUGCAGUUUAGAAAAAAGCCUACUUUGGAAAGAUUUAAUUCUUUUAAUCUUUCCAAAGAGGUUAUUAUAAUCAAUCAUUUUUUUCUUUUCUAUAACUAAAAUAUAAAUUUAAAUAAAAACAACUUUCAACAACGGAUCUCUUGGCUCUCGCAUCGAUGAAGAACGCAGC